GAAAUGACUCAUAGAGGAGUUGAACCCAACGCGUGGGUGUGGGCGCUAUUAAAACAAGGCUGAAAGUGUGGGGUGGAUCAUUCACAAGCGCCGAUUUUGCUAUGCUUGAAACCUAUUUGUGGCUUUUAAUCUUUUGAAAUCGCUGUGGGAUUUCAAUAUAUAUAUAAGGCUCAAUGGAUACCGGUGCUAUGUUGCGUUGCCUCCAUUGGAUUACUCUAUUGAUCGCCACGUUCAUUCAUGGAAUAAACGCGGAUAAAAGUUCAGCCCUUUGUUUGAAUUCCGAAUUCUGGAACAAAGACGUCGCACAAUGUGUACCUUGUUAUAUAUGCAAACAGUACCCGAAAACCCCAUCAUGUGACACAUGCCCACCCUCAGAGGCUUCGGAUUCCUGGAGGGUGGCAGCAAUUACCAGUUUAUCUGUCCUGGCAGCUGUAAUUGUUUGUGGAGCCUUGCUCAUAGGAGUUCUAGUACAUCAGUGCAGGUCCAGGAGGACCUUACGUGAACCAAUUGAAGAGACAACAGGACCCCUUUAUCCAGUAUAGGUUCUUCAUAAGCUCAUGGAACUCAAGCUGACAGCAUAUGAAAACGGACUGUUACUCCAGUGAAUUAAUGCUCCGGAUCGUGAAACACUGGCUGGUACCUCAACCACAGAGUGUUCUAUGAGUAGCAUCAGAUUUGUCUAAUUUAUUUCAUUAGUAGGCUAUGUCAUGUAUAGCAAAUGGUUAUGCACAUAAAGCUGCACUGAGACAUUCCUUGUCACCCACUGUGCAGAAUAGGUUUGCAAGCCUUAGGUGCUAAGUUGCAUCCUACAGACAGCAAGAUAGCAUAUUUUAUAUUCCUUUUUUUUUGGAACCCCUAAAAUGCUAGUUACACUGUUUUUGCACAAAUUUGUGGCCAUUCAUGUUACACUUAAAAGUGCACCGUAGAUGCAUUUCCACCUGAAUAUUCCUUGUUAAAUUUGCGAACAUGAUAAACACAAAUAACCGUAGCUAGUUUAACAUAGCAGACUUAGAGAUUAUCCUUUUUUACACGAAUAUGCCUUCUAAACAGACUUAGUAUGGCACAUAGCCAUGUGAAUGUAUUUGUUAUCUUUGUACAGUUUAAUUAUCUAUUUUUAUAGUGUUGGAAUACUACGCACUGUAUAGAUGUAGCCCUUUGUACAACAGUAUUCUGACACUGACUGGCUCAGCAUCCUGUCUAUGGCAUUGAUGGAGAUGUGGAGGCACUGAAGACCAGCCAAAACACAGCAGUCGAUGACCUGAAGAGUCGCCAGCUGACAUAAACAGAUUCUUUAAAAGAGCCGCAGGUGUCGGAUUCAAUCUUAGUUUUCCUACCUUUAUGCGCAUAAGAGAUUAGAUAGAUUAGUGUGAUAUUUACGUACAUGUAUCAUGAUACAUUUAAUCUCUCGUGUUUUAUCUUUUCAUCUUAGUAAAAUAUGUGUUUAACUGGCUAUGGGCAUUAGGAAAUGUACAUAUUUAUAUGCAGCAGAUGCUGAGGAGUAAUGAAAUUAACUUGUUUGAAAGACUUCAAGCAUGUUUAGCAAGAGUAAAGGGUUAAUCUCACAGAACCUGUGAGAAAAAAGGUCUGACAAAUUUCAACCCAGAAACUAUAUUUUGCUUAAAGAAAUUGUCUUUUUUUUUUUCUAGAAAACUAAGCACAUUUUAUGCAACAAUUCCCAAUAAUACUUUAUGUACCUCACCACUGCAGUGUUUGUCAGCAAUCUAGAAAGAUCAAGAAGCUAGUCCAGAAUCUUGAUAAACAUAAACCUGUGAAGCAUGCACAGCACAGCACUGUCACAGUCUUGAGUAAAGAUGGUGGUGUGCCUUUACUCAUUCACAAUUACUCAACAGACUGCAGAGGAAAUCAUGCAUUUUAAUGCAUUAAAGAGACAACCAAUGUACUGUA